AUGGCCAUUACGUACACCCCAGCUCCUGCGCGCCGUCCACACUGCCUGACGACUGCCUGCUAAGUUUUGUUAGUC
rnacentral:sRNA from 2 species